rnacentral:rRNA from 1 species
GGAGGAAAGCAGGGGAUCGUAAGACCUUGCGCUUUUGGAGCGGCCGAUGCCUGAUUAGCUAGUUGGUGGGGUAAAGGCUUACCAAGGCAACGAUCAGUAGUUGGUCUGAGAGGACGGCCAGCCACACUGGGACUGAGACACGGCCCAGACUCCUACGGGAGGCAGCAGUGGGGAAUUUUGGACAAUGGGCGCAAGCCUGAUCCAGCAAUGCCGCGUGAGUGAAGAAGGCCUUCGGGUUGUAAAGCUCUUUCAGUCGAGAAGAAAAGAUUGUGACGAAUAAUCACAAUUCAUGACGGUAUCGACAGAAGAAGCACCGGCUAACUACGUGCCAGCAGCCGCGGUAAUACGUAGGGUGCAAGCGUUAAUCGGAAUUACUGGGCGUAAAGGGUGCGCAGGCGGCUUUGUAAGUCAGAUGUGAAAUCCCCGGGCUUAACCUGGGAAU